UUCCUACGGGGCGCAGCAGUGGGGAAUAUUGCACAAUGGGGGAAACCCUGAUGCAGCAACGCCGCGUGAGUGAAGAAGUAUUUCGGUAUGUAAAGCUCUAUCAGCAGGGAAGAGAAUGACGGUACCUGACUAAGAAGCCCCGGCUAACUACGUGCCAGCAGCCGCGGUAAUACGUGGGGGGCAAGCGUUAUCCGGAUUUACUGGGUGUAAAGGGAGCGUAGACGGCUGGCC
rnacentral:rRNA from 1 species